AAGCCCAUGAAAAGGGCAAAGCCUUAACAAGUCCUUAAAACGCUCCCAUGCAUCAAACAAAGAUCCCCUCUUCUUGCCUAAAAUUAUUUAUCCCGUUCUUAAUUU